rnacentral:rRNA from 1 species
GAUGAACGCUGGCGGCGUGCCUAAUACAUGCAAGUCGAGCGAACAGAUGAGGAGCUUGCUCCUCUGACGUUAGCGGCGGACGGGUGAGUAACACGUGGAUAACCUACCUAUAAGACUGGGAUAACUUCGGGAAACCGGAGCUAAUACCGGAUAAUAUAUUGAACCGCAUGGUUCAAUAGUUAAAGACGGUUUUGCUGUCACUUAUAGAUUGAUCCGCGCCGCAUUAGCUAGUUGGUAAGGUAACGGCUUACCAAGGCAACGAUGCGUAGCCGACCUGAGAGGGUGAUCGGCCACACUGGAAGUGAGACACGGUCCAGACUCCUACGCGAGGCAGCAGUAGGGAAUCUUACGCAAUGGGCGAAAGCCUGACGGAGCAACGCCGCGUGAGUGAUGAAGGUCUUCGGAUCGUAAAACUCUGUUAUUAGGGAAGAACAAAUGUGUAAGUAACUAUGCACGUCUUGACGGUACCUAAUCAGAAAGCCACGGCUAACUACGUG